rnacentral:rRNA from 1 species
GUGAACGCUGGCGGUAGGCCUAACCCCUGCAAGUCGAACGGCAGCACAGUAAGAGCUUGCUCUUACGGGUGGCGAGUGGCGGACGGGUGAGGAAUACAUCGGAAUCUACUUUUUCGUGGGGGAUAACGUAGGGAAACUUACGCUAAUACCGCAUACGACCUACGGGUGAAAGCGGGGGAUCUUCGGACCUUGCGCGAUUGAAUGAGCCGAUGUCGGAUUAGCUAGUUGGCGGGGUAAAGGCCCACCAAGGCGACGAUCCGUAGCUGGUCUGAGAGGAUGAUCAGCCACACUGGAACUGAGACACGGUCCAGACUCCUACGGGAGGCAGCAGUGGGGAAUAUUGGACAAUGGGCGCAAGCCUGAUCCAGCCAUACCGCGUGGGUGAAGAAGGCCUUCGGGUUGUAAAGCCCUUUUGUUGGGAAAGAAAAGCAGCAGGUUAAUACCCCGCUGUUCUGACGGUACCCAAAGAAUAAGCACCGGCUAACUUCGUG